UUGAAAGUGUGAGACCAUAAUGAGGUUUUCUUCACCUCAAGAGUUAUAACCACAACUACAGAGAUAUUUGGAGAGUUUGUCCAACCAUGAGUGGGUGGAGUCUCAAAGGGAAGUGUAUAGGAACAAUAUAUCCGGCUGGCCUUUGGGGUUUCACUCCAAAACUGUUAUUCUUCAGCAUUUUGUAUGUUACAGGUUUCCUUCAGACAGAACAUGCAGGCUGUGUUACUGAUGCUUAGCUCGUGCAGCAGUGAGACACUCUGCAAAUCGAGCUCAAAUCUCAUAUCCACAACGCUGGACUGGCCUAAACACAAACACAGCUACCAGAUUUAAUGUUAGUCUACAAAAACCGAUCUUAACCUUUAACCUCCAACCGAUCACUACAAAAAGUUAGGAAGUAAGUCAAGAUAAGGAUAACGCGAUCGCAUUUAUUAGCUGCACAUGAUAUUAUGGAGAUGCCAGUGAUCCUGACCCUUUCUGAUCUCCAGACCUGCCUGAUCUAUCCUGAUGCCUUACCUCUGGAUGGAGCUCUCAUCAACCCAAGGAUACAUUCUGUCACUGAGGACGACACCAAGCGGUGCAGCCUGGAGAUUGCUGAGGAUGGUGCUGCUUGAAGUACCAUGGAAAUGGUUUUGGACCUCAAUUCCACAGGACAUUCUCGCUGUGGGUGCUGGGACUACGGUUGCUGUUAUGGCCUUAGCACUGCAAUUACCACAUACAAUUUUGCACUCAAGUCUCCUUUAUUGAACAGUGGACUAGUUCAACAGAACAGAAUUCAUGUAAAAACAAUAAUUAACUUUUUUUUUACUUUCACACUAUCUGUUGUUAUUCAGAUAAGGAUGGGUUCCCUUCUGAGUCUGGUUCCUCUUAAGGUUUCUUCCUCAUAUUGUCUUAGGGAGUUUUUCCUUGCCACUGUCGCCACCGGCUUGCUGAUUAGGGUAAAUUCACAAACUUAAAAUCUGUAUCUUGUAUUUAUAUGUUUCUGUAAAGCAGCUUUGAGACAAUAUCCAUUGUUAAAAGCACUAUACAAAUUAAAUUGAAUUGAAUAUACAUAUAUAAUCCCAGAAACACAAAUCAAGGAUACACUCUGGAUUAGCACCAGUCCAUCACAAGGCAUCACUAGCUCACACACUUAGGAACAAUUUAGAGAAGGUUAUCCACCUACCAAGCUUAUGUUUUGGGGAACAUGGGUACAGCUCCAGGGUCCUCAUUUUGAAAUACGGCGUUACUGUGCACCUCAUAUGUAAUUAACAUAUUACACCCCCAUUUUUGAUAAUAAUUUAAGGACAACAUACUUAAUGUUAUGGGUGACAUGACUGCAUAAAUGUUUUCAAUGUGUUUGUCUCGUUACGCAGCUGCACAUGCAUACUCAUAACAAAUUUCCCUUACCCGGACAAAUAAAGUAUAUCUGAUCUGAA